UCAUUUCUUAGUACCUUUUUGAGUGCACUACUAUUAAAUAAAAAAAACAUAUGUUCCCAAUUAAUUCAUCAAACCAACAAUCGUGCGAACAAGUUGUCUGCGGGCGGACGUGGUGCACAUUUUGUUUUGUUUUUAUUUAGGAAAUAACAUAACCCAGACAUUCCGUUGAAUUCGCCACUUAAACCGGCAUUACAACAUUGUUGCAACAAAUCGCCCGCCCAAUUGCAUCAUUAAUCGCGAAUUCGCAGUGGGAAGACA